UUGAACGCUGGCGGCAGGCCUAACACAUGCAAGUCGAACGGUAACAGGAAGCAGCUUGCUGCUUUGCUGACGAGUGGCGGACGGGUGAGUAAUGUCUGGGAAACUGCCUGAUGGAGGGGGAUAACUACUGGAAACGGUAGCUAAUACCGCAUAACGUCGCAAGACCAAAGAGGGGGACCUUCGGGCCUCUUGCCAUCGGAUGUGCCCAGAUGGGAUUAGCUUGUUGGUGGGGUAACGGCUCACCAAGGCGACGAUCCCUAGCUGGUCUGAGAGGAUGACCAGCCACACUGGAACUGAGACACGGUCCAGACUCCUACGGGAGGCAGCAGUGGGGAAUAUUGCACAAUGGGCGCAAGCCUGAUGCAGCCAUGCCGCGUGUAUGAAGAAGGCCUUCGGGUUGUAAAGUACUUUCAGCGGGGAGGAAGGGAGUAAAGUUAAUACCUUUACUCAUUGACGUUACCCGCAGAAGAAGCACCGGCUAACUCCGUGCCAGCAGCCGCGGUAAUACGGAGGGUGCAAGCGUUAAUCGGAAUUACUGGGCGUAAAGCGCACGCAGGCGGUUUGUUAAGUCAGAUGUGAAAUCCCCGGGCUCAACCUGGGAACUGCAUCUGAUACUGGCAAGCUUGAGUCUCGUAGAGGGGGGUAGAAUUCCAGGUGUAGCGGUGAAAUGCGUAGAGAUCUGGAGGAAUACCGGUGGCGAAGGCGGCCCCCUGGACGAAGACUGACGCUCAGGUGCGAAAGCGUGGGGAGCAAACAGGAUUAGAUACCCUGGUAGUCCACGCCGUAAACGAUGUCGACUUGGAGGUUGUGCCCUUGAGGCGUGGCUUCCGGAGCUAACGCGUUAAGUCGACCGCCUGGGGAGUACGGCCGCAAGGUUAAAACUCAAAUGAAUUGACGGGGGCCCGCACAAGCGGUGGAGCAUGUGGUUUAAUUCGAUGCAACGCGAAGAACCUUACCUGGUCUUGACAUCCACAGAACUUUCCAGAGAUGGAUUGGUGCCUUCGGGAACUGUGAGACAGGUGCUGCAUGGCUGUCGUCAGCUCGUGUUGUGAAAUGUUGGGUUAAGUCCCGCAACGAGCGCAACCCUUAUCCUUUGUUGCCAGCGGUCCGGCCGGGAACUCAAAGGAGACUGCCAGUGAUAAACUGGAGGAAGGUGGGGAUGACGUCAAAUCAUCAUGCCCUUUAUGUCCUGGGCUACACACGUACUACAAUGGGUGUAACAGAGGGAAGCAACACAGCGAUGUGAAGCGAAACCCAAAAAGCACCCCCAGUUCGGAUUGAAGGCUGAAAUUCGCCUUCAUGAAGCCGGAAUUGCUAGUAAUGGCAGGUCAGCAUACUGCCGUGAAUACGUUCCCGGGCCUUGUACACACCGCCCGUCACACCAUGGGAGUGGGUUGCAAAAGAAGUAGGUAGCUUAACCUUCGGGAGGGCGCUUACCACUUUGUGAUUCAUGACUGGGGUG
rnacentral:rRNA from 1 species